CACUUUUUGUUUUUUUUAAAGACUUGGAUUAUUAAAGCAAAAAAGACAAACAGAUACUUUCUUCCAGGAUCCAAACGAAAUUCAGUGCAGAAUGUCUUCCGAAAACUGCCGAAAAAACAAUUCUAUGCCAGAUCUAUCUAACAAGGUCGCUUUUUGUUAAAGAAAAUUCAACCUCAAAAAUACGUCCUUCUUCCGCUAAACUGUCAACACCACUAAACUGCCCGCCAACUUACAGCACAGGAAUCCGCACAAAAUGUUACGUCACAACGCCGGCCUGACGUGCCUCGUUUCCCUGGAGACGGUGUACAGUGCUAGCGGCCUGUUCAGUUCCCGUCCCCAGAGUUUUACACAUCGCCCCUUCCCAGCUUGAGAAAAUGGUUCUGUAGUUUUAGUUCCGGCAAGUUUUAAAGCAGCAUAUUGUUCCACAGUAGACGCAGAUUUAAGGGGGGGGAGGGGGGGUUGUCAACCGGGACAUUUGUCCAGGACACUGAGCUGUCGAGGGGGCCCGCAGCCCAGGUUAAAAUAAAUACAUAAAUAAAAAUGUCUAUUUUCCAGUUUAAAAUCCAACCCGCUUGCCUGUGAUCGCGCUGCUAAACACUGGAAUCUCUUACUGGCCACGCGCACGCUGGAGGACGCGAGAGAGCGUGAGAGACAGAGCGCGAGAGGGAGACUAACAGAAAACAAUUGAAAAACUUUGCGGCGCAGCGAAACAAACAAACAAAACAAAAACUCAAAUUUCGGUUUAAAAUCCUAUAAAAAUGAAGUAACGACAACACCAAAUGAACCCGAACAACUGGUCAACGAGAGUUUUGGCGGCGCUACGGUUCCAAAUAACGGGCCUGAAGAGUCAGACAGUAAGGAGGAGUCGUUGCCGGUCUGCUCACAGCGGCAAUUAACGAGCAAGGUAACUUCAAUCUGCCUUUCGCUUUAACCCACAGACUUGUGGGAUAACAUUCUGGAGAGAGUCGACAAAACUACAAAAUCCAUUGAAGCACAAAACAUCGAACUGUCAGUGGUAGGUGAAUUACUUGAACUUGAAUACUGUAUGCUAAUAGUACGAGUUCUGCGUUUUAUCUUCUGUUAGAUAACUCAUGCUUCUCUCAGUAUUUGUCAUAAAAUCAAACAGCAAAGCUUUGUUUUUAUCUUGAAGUACUAUUAUAAUAUACUGUAGAACCGAGACAAUGAAAACAUUCAUAGCAGAAGUAAAUCAUAAAAGGUUUUUACUCCAGUCAGCAAAUUGUAAAAUUUGCUUGGGAGCAGAUUCUGACGCUUAAGCAGACACAGGUGUGUAUUUUCCUAUUGGUUACAGGUACGUUCUCGUGAAAUCAUUUUGGAACUACCUUGUUGUUGUUUUUUUAUUUUUUAUAUUAUAUAGUUUAUUUGAUACAAAGUGAAUCACAGAGAUGUGCCGGGUUUACAACACUGUGAGUCGGUGUAUUGAAGGAUUAUGAUGGUGGAGGAAAGAAUGUACAAUGAACAAGCACUUGUAUUCAGAAUGCACACAGGUCAGGAACACACAACACACAACACCCCAACCAGCCCCCACUCUCGGGACCACGCAGGACCUGGUUAAUAACAAAAACAGUAUUACAUUUAUAUAAAUGAGCACAGAAAACACAGCCAACAGAACAAAAGAUGAAUAACCUGGGACAGUAACCUGAUUCAUUCUAUGUUCACUAAGGAAAAUAGUAGCAAGUUGUUUUGUUAAUGAUCUGAAGUCAUCAUUUAGAACUUAAGAUGUCUGUUUCUUAUGUCAUCUGUACCUAUGGGUAUAAUGACCACAGACUCUUUUUUACCGAUUAUUUAAUAAUUUGCACACUCUUGAUUCAAUGUCGUUAGUUUUUGCUCCAGAGAGGCAAGUAACAGUUCUGUUUAUAGUGUCUUUACCGCUAAAAUCACUGUCAACGUGGUGAACAAUUGAGUCACCUACAAGACCUCCACCCUAUUUACAGUCAACGCAUGGCCAAUGUUGCUCAGUGCUUGGAAUCUGUCAGAUAAUUUGAUCUUCUCUGUAUUUUGACUACUUAUUUGCCUCCUCUUCUUACCUUUUCUAACCUUGUUUAUUCCACCGAUAGCAUCAAAGAAAAAAAAAAAACAUAAAUCAAUGAUGACACUGCACACACAGCUCAACCAGUUAGAUGUCAGUUUCCUAAAAUUUGACUUGUGGGAUAACAUUCUGGAGAGAGUCGACAAAACUACAAAAUCCAUUGAAGCACAAAACAUCGAACUGUCAGUGGUAGGUGAAUUACUUGAACUUGAAUACUGUAUGCUAAUAGUACGAGUUCUGCGUUUUAUCUUCUGUUAGAUAACUCAUGCUUCUCUCAGUAUUUGUCAUAAAAUCAAACAGCAAAGCUUUGUUUUUAUCUUGAAGUACUAUUAUAAUAUACUGUAGAACCGAGACAAUGAAAACAUUCAUAGCAGAAGUAAAUCAUAAAAGGUUUUUACUCCAGUCAGCAAAUUGUAAAAUUUGCUUGGGAGCAGAUUCUGACGCUUAAGCAGACACAGGUGUGUAUUUUCCUAUUGGUUACAGGUACGUUCUCGUGAAAUCAUUUUGGAACUACCUUGUUGUUGUUUUUUUAUUUUUUAUAUUAUAUAGUUUAUUUGAUACAAAGUGAAUCACAGAGAUGUGCCGGGUUUACAACACUGUGAGUCGGUGUAUUGAAGGAUUAUGAUGGUGGAGGAAAGAAUGUACAAUGAACAAGCACUUGUAUUCAGAAUGCACACAGGUCAGGAACACACAACACACAACACCCCAACCAGCCCCCACUCUCGGGACCACGCAGGACCUGGUUAAUAACAAAAACAGUAUUACAUUUAUAUAAAUGAGCACAGAAAACACAGCCAACAGAACAAAAGAUGAAUAACCUGGGACAGUAACCUGAUUCAUUCUAUGUUCACUAAGGAAAAUAGUAGCAAGUUGUUUUGUUAAUGAUCUGAAGUCAUCAUUUAGAACUUAAGAUGUCUGUUUCUUAUGUCAUCUGUACCUAUGGGUAUAAUGACCACAGACUCUUUUUUACCGAUUAUUUAAUAAUUUGCACACUCUUGAUUCAAUGUCGUUAGUUUUUGCUCCAGAGAGGCAAGUAACAGUUCUGUUUAUAGUGUCUUUACCGCUAAAAUCACUGUCAACGUGGUGAACAAUUGAGUCACCUACAAGACCUCCACCCUAUUUACAGUCAACGCAUGGCCAAUGUUGCUCAGUGCUUGGAAUCUGUCAGAUAAUUUGAUCUUCUCUGUAUUUUGACUACUUAUUUGCCUCCUCUUCUUACCUUUUCUAACCUUGUUUAUUCCACCGAUAGCAUCAAAGAAAAAAAAAAAACAUAAAUCAAUGAUGACACUGCACACACAGCUCAACCAGUUAGAUGUCAGUUUCCUAAAAUUUGACUUGUGGGAUAACAUUCUGGAGAGAGUCGACAAAACUACAAAAUCCAUUGAAGCACAAAACAUCGAACUGUCAGUGGUAGGUGAAUUACUUGAACUUGAAUACUGUAUGCUAAUAGUACGAGUUCUGCGUUUUAUCUUCUGUUAGAUAACUCAUGCUUCUCUCAGUAUUUGUCAUAAAAUCAAACAGCAAAGCUUUGUUUUUAUCUUGAAGUACUAUUAUAAUAUACUGUAGAACCGAGACAAUGAAAACAUUCAUAGCAGAAGUAAAUCAUAAAAGGUUUUUACUCCAGUCAGCAAAUUGUAAAAUUUGCUUGGGAGCAGAUUCUGACGCUUAAGCAGACACAGGUGUGUAUUUUCCUAUUGGUUACAGGUACGUUCUCGUGAAAUCAUUUUGGAACUACCUUGUUGUUGUUUUUUUAUUUUUUAUAUUAUAUAGUUUAUUUGAUACAAAGUGAAUCACAGAGAUGUGCCGGGUUUACAACACUGUGAGUCGGUGUAUUGAAGGAUUAUGAUGGUGGAGGAAAGAAUGUACAAUGAACAAGCACUUGUAUUCAGAAUGCACACAGGUCAGGAACACACAACACACAACACCCCAACCAGCCCCCCACUCUCGGGACCACGCAGGACCUGGUUAAUAACAAAAACAGUAUUACAUUUAUAUAAAUGAGCACAGAAAACACAGCCAACAGAACAAAAGAUGAAUAACCUGGGACAGUAACCUGAUUCAUUCUAUGUUCACUAAGGAAAAUAGUAGCAAGUUGUUUUGUUAAUGAUCUGAAGUCAUCAUUUAGAACUUAAGAUGUCUGUUUCUUAUGUCAUCUGUACCUAUGGGUAUAAUGACCACAGACUCUUUUUUACCGAUUAUUUAAUAAUUUGCACACUCUUGAUUCAAUGUCGUUAGUUUUUGCUCCAGAGAGGCAAGUAACAGUUCUGUUUAUAGUGUCUUUACCGCUAAAAUCACUGUCAACGUGGUGAACAAUUGAGUCACCUACAAGACCUCCACCCUAUUUACAGUCAACGCAUGGCCAAUGUUGCUCAGUGCUUGGAAUCUGUCAGAUAAUUUGAUCUUCUCUGUAUUUUGACUACUUAUUUGCCUCCUCUUCUUACCUUUUCUAACCUUGUUUAUUCCACCGAUAGCAUCAAAGAAAAAAAAAAACAUAAAUCAAUGAUGACACUGCACACACAGCUCAACCAGUUAGAUGUCAGUUUCCUAAAAUUUGGUAAGUAUUACCAGGUAUUACCCCUGAUUUGUGAGGUCAAUGUAUUUCACUCACAGCAUAGUACAGGCACAUCACAUGUCACUGUGCAUAAAGCAGACUAUAUAUUUUUGUAUGACUUUUUUUAAACACAUAGCCUUGAUAUAUCAUAAAUGUAUACAAAGAUUCCCUACGUCAUAUACUACAGUACUUAAGGAUUGCGUGGUUCUUCAUAUUAUUUAACAUCACUCAUAGACUUUUAUAAUCCAGUAUUUUACUGGUUUUGAUCAGGGUGCUAAAUAUUGUCGUGAAAAAUAAUCCCUACCUUGGCUUCCAGAAGAGCAGAACCAGACUUCAGCUGAAUAGAUUCAGGAAUGCAAGCAAUCCCCAACGACUAGAUUUAUUUUCUUUUAAAAUGUUUUUUUUUGCCUUUAAUAAACUGUCACAAACAGGAUCAAAUUGCCCAAAUCAACAAGCAUUAAUUAUAAGUAAAGAAAUAGAUGAAAGCCAAAUUUAGUCUGGAAUUAUAAUAAUUAUUAACUGUUGAAAUGUAUUUUGUUUAUCUCCUAUCCCGCACCA